GCAGUGGUGGUUCACUGGUAGAAUUCUCGCCUUCCAUGAAGGAGACCUGGGUUUGACCCCCAGUCAAUGCA
rnacentral:tRNA from 1 species